rnacentral:tRNA from 1 species
GCCUUCGUGGUGUAGUAGUCAGCACGCUCGGCCCGUAUUUCAAGAGAUCCGUGGUUCGAGUCCCGGCGAGGGCA